UUGAAGCCUGAGUUGCUUCUCUGUCUAUCAUUUUUAUCCUUUUGUUUUUUCCUCCACCUCCGUCUUCUUUAUUCCUCCCUAGCCUCCCCCUUCUCCCCCUCAUCCCUAUCUCUGCUCCUCUUCCACCCUUGGCCCUGGCCCUCUGCCUGCUCUUUCGCUCACCCCCCAUGUUCGCAAAUCACUUCUUCCCGUGUCAGCAGGUAAAUUGUUUUGUCCUCCCAUUCCCUGCUUUCAUUACCUUGUGUAAAUUAAGCGAUAUGUCGUCCACCGGUGCGCGCCAGAGCACUCACUGCGCCAACGCCAAAAUCAUGAGAUUUGGCAUAAUAAAUGAAGAUAAACUGGCAGUAGCAGUGCUCCUCUCCGCGCGGGCUCGCCUUCAUUAUUUGCUUAACUUGCCGGAGAAAAUGACUUAACCCUGACCUGUGUAUUUCGUCCCAUAUUCACUCCAGAUAAAAGCCUUUUUACAGCGCACAACAAUUUAUAUUCCGGCAAAGAGGCUGCUUUUCUCUGUCAGUUUUCCAAUCUCAGCUCCUGAACACACGUCAUUAAACUUGUCUUGCCUUCCUGUAUUUGUCCAUCAGUCCUUCUUUUUACAUAAAAUCUGGCAGCAUUAUUCUGGGAUUUGAUGGCACCCACUCAUUUUUUCCCCUUGGAAUGUUUGAUUGGAAGAAAUAUAGCCGAGCUGGGGCUAUCUCCUCUCCUCUGUGGAAUCAUGCACUUGAUGAAAUAGUGUUCCCCCAGCAAGAAUAAUAAAAACAGACUUGUGCAUUACAGGGGGCUCUCAAUCUGCCAGCUAGGCUGAGCUGAGCAAAAAAAAAAAAAAAAAACCCACCCUGCUCCUGACAGAUUUUUAUAGUUAUCCAAGUAGAUAAAUGGAAACGGGUGACCAGACUGUGGAAGGCCACGCUUGAGCCGAGUGUGGGCUGCAGGGCUGGACAGUAACAGUGUGGGAUGAACAUUAAAUGGUCGAACACAGGAACAAGUGAACUCGAACUACCAGAGAUGUCCUGGAUAUAAGAGAAAAAUCUCAGAGAAAUGUUUGCUUAUUCAGAAAAAAAAGGCAAAUAUGACGAGUCAAAACAUACUAGUUAGUUUUUUCACAGUUUGUCCACAUGAGAGGAGGGUCUGUGUCACGAUUUGGUUAAGCUCUACUAAAAAUGAAUUAAACAGGGUGAAAAGGAUGACCGCAGAUGUCUCCUGCUUUAAAGGUGUUCUCUCUUCAAGUUGGAAAUGAACUGAUGGAUGGAUAAAUACUUUAUUGAUCCUGGAGGAAAUUCUAGCUUUAGCUUUCCAUUCACACAUGGGCACAUUGAACAUUGGUUGAGUUAGAAAGCAAAAAAAUCUUCCAAAUAUAAAUCCAGAGGACUAAAAGUGGAGUAAAACAUCAUAUAUUAAAACAAUUCUUAGAUAAAUAUAUAUACGCAUUAUUGGCACUCCACCACUUACAAGUGGCUCAACCUCAGAGUUCUGAUCCAAGCCUGGUGCUGAGCUGACACACACACGCCUGAUUAGUUUGUUCAGCCUCAGUUUGUCCACUUUGUUGAUGCCUCCUCUGCAUACCAUGGCACAAAACAGAGCACUGGCUAUUUCAUACUGCCACUGCCAUAAAUUUUUUUUUUUUUAAGCUCAAUAUGAUACAUUUUUUUAAAGUUGUUAAAGGGCUGCAAUUGCACUUAACUUUUGACAAUUGCACUUUUUAUAGUAAGAUAAUACUCUGAUUUUGUGCAUUUAGGAAUUAGAUUGCCUUUUUAAUUUUCUGAACUUGUCAGUCUCUCAAAUCAGAACUGAAAAAUAUUGAGACAAAUACUCGUAACUUCUUAAAACCGAGCCUUGUUUACAUUUUGUUUGUUUCUGAUUUGAGACUUGGAAAGUGCUGGGCUGAAACAAGGGUUGAAAAGUUCCACGGUGGAUUGUGCUUGAAGCUCGGGAAGAUAAUCAGCCAUAAACGGUGCUCGAUUCCACCUAACAGACCCUGAUUGAUCAAGUGAGCAUGCUAAUCAAUCUGGCUCUAGUGCGGAAGAGCUCUGUGUGUUCUUCGUCGUCCUCUUCUUUUUCUGUUCAGCAGCAGGUAGAGCAGCACAGUUGUGAGGAAAACACAAAAUAAACAUGGGGAUGAUUUGUAAAUGGUAGAGUGUCAAUAAUGUGUCUUUGUAUAAGAAGUUAUUUAACAUAUCUCUGCAUUACAGUGUAUUUGGUUGAUGUCAUUAAUGUUAAGCUGUUUAUUGCAAGAACUUGAUAUUUUAGUUGAAGUCACCUCAAGGUUUCUUAGUAACAAUACAAUCCAGUAGAAAUGACAGUAUGAGUCAAAAGUAUUACUGUAUCAUUAAGUUAACCAAAAACAAAAACAUAGAAGAUCAUGUCAUAUGCCUACAAAGAAUGAAUUAGAUAAAGAACAAAUUUCCUUUUGGGGACGAAUAAAGUUUUUGUAUUGUAUUGUAGAGUUAGGUUACACCUCCUCUAUUUUAUACCAACCUUUUCUAUGUUCUGCAACCUUCAUUAUUUACAGAAAAAAAAGAACUGAAAUUUAUAACAACGGUUGAACUUUUGUUGCUCUGUGUCUAAGUUUUUCUUUCCUCCGCUUUAGGGUUUCUGGUCAUUCCUGUUACUGCAGCUGCCGGUUUUGGGAGCCUGAACAGAACCACCAAUUUGUGUGGCUUACUCUCAAAUGGAAUGAAACAGACAUUAACACUGCUGCUUCCCCUUCUUUCACACAUUAAAAUCUUACUGGCCUGUACAUCACAAACGUCAACAGCUGGUUUAAAUUAAUAUUGUGUUGCCACCUCUGGUAAGAUAUGUCACACUAAUUUACUCUUGUUUAAUUUCUCCUUAUGUAUUCUUUGUAACUGAAAAGUCAAAACACUGACUUUUCAGUCAAAUAGAAAUUUAAAACCGUAUAGGCAGCCAAUAUUCAUUUAAUGCAAGGUAUUUCCUUCAUCCAUAAAGAUGACAAAACCCAUAUAUGACAUACUGUCAUCUUACACUAUGAUUGUUAUAGAUCAAAAUACUUAGACAUAUCAAGUCAUUCUUUUAUAUCCCUUCUGUAUCUUUUGUAUCAUAAAAUUAUAACUGUAUUUAAAUGCAAAUUUACAAUCAAAAUGUAGAAUAUACUUUCAUCAGAAACAGCCAAAUAUUAAAAAACCAGACACUCUGUAGCGACUCUUCUCCCAGUAUAUUAAAUUAAAUGCUGAAUUUUCUUCAGAUCAGUCUCUAAAAACUCAAGGCAAGACCACUGGGAUUGUACAGAGCUCAAGAAGUUGGUGUUUGCAGCUUUGCUCUGUCUGUGCAGGGACUCCUGUGCUCUGCAAAGACAGAGAAAAGAAUGACACAAACACAGGGUGAAAAAAAAACUCAGGAAUUCAACUCAUUUUUUACUGUAUGAAAGUUUUACAAGGUCGUUGGGAGAGUCGUGUUAACACAACACCUGAAUACCGAUUUGUUACCUUGUUCUACAAGUCACGGAGCAGCAAGUCUUUAAGCGAUCAUUAUUACCAUACAAAUAGACAGAUCUAUUUAACAACCCUCUUUUUAUCGCAUAACACUUAUUCUUUAGUGUUGUUCCCUGAAAGGCACUGAAUCCCCCCUCCCCUCCCCCUUUUUCUUUUUCUUUUUUUUUUUUUUUUUUGCAGGGAAAUCGUCUCCGGGUUGAUAAAGGCUCAGAGCAAUAGAAGAAGCAAGGCUGACAUCUUCUUAAGAGAUGAUAGGAGAGCCAAAUCAAAUAGGAUGGAGCAGUCACUCUUUUCACAGAUAGGUAGCUCAUUUCUGGUGGCUGAGAGUUUGCAUCCCUAGUGGCGCUCUGCCUGGGAAAGAUAGCUCACUUGGACUCCAUUCAUUAUUUCAUUCCCUGCCUCUUCUUUUCACAUCUUAGCUACUUCUUUCCCCCCUUCUUUUGCUUUAAUGAGUUGCCUAUUUUUCUCAAGUGUUGAUGGUAAUCUUGGAAUUUAGAUUUGUGAGACAAAAUGCUUAAUCACAAGUGUUUUUCAUCAGUGGCGAAGAGGCAAAAAUCAAUUAUUUCUAUUAGACAAUGCUGAUUGGGAAUGAAUGGAAGUGGUAGCAUUUUGAAACAAAGACUCCAUGGUGGCAAAGAUAAGUGUCAGUCUGGCCCCCCUGAGGUAUGACAUGUGGUCUGGCUUAUUAAGCAGUUUGCAAACAUUUGCCAUUAAAUCCAAGCAAAGGGUUUGCCAUGCCAAUACAAACAGUGAGGGAUAAUAUAUGAUAACAGUAUUCAAAAGUCAGGAAUUGUCAGAAUAAGGGUAAACAUUUUGACACUGUAAGGACGCCAGUGACAGGCUCAAAGGUUGUCAAACUCUUACGGGUUUAUUUUUCCUGAUUAAGGUGUAUGUAUACUCAUCUGAAUACCCUUAAUAUUCAUUCAAAUUUGAAUAUCUUUGGUUGCCGAAGAUUUCUCUGUGUUAUAACUUCUUGGUGAGAGGUGAGUCAAGAACUUUUCCCACCAACUGUUUACAGCCAAACUUAAGCAAUCAAGCACAAGCUC